rnacentral:rRNA from 1 species
AAACUUUCAACAACGGAUCUCUUGGUUCCGGCAUCGAUGAAGAACGCAGCGAAAUGCGAUAAGUAAUGCGAAUUGCAGAAUCCCGUGAGUCAUCGAAUCUUUGAACGCACAUUGCGCCCUCUGGUAUUCCGGAGGGCAUGCCUGUUCGAGCGUCAUUA